GGGCCCGCACAAGCGGUGGAGUAUGUGGUUUAAUUCGAUGCAACGCGAAGAACCUUACCAGGGUUUGACAUCCUGCGAAUCUCUUGGAAACAGGAGAGUGCCUUCGGGAACGCAGUGACAGGUGGUGCAUGGCUGUCGUCAGCUCGUGUCGUGAGAUGUUGGGUUAAGUCCCGCAACGAGCGCAACCCACGUCUUUAGUUGCCAGCGGGUAAUGCCGGGGACUCUAGAGAGACUGCCGGUGUCAAACCGGAGGAAGGUGGGGAUGACGUCAAGUCCUCAUGGCCUUUAUGUCUAGGGCUGCACACGUCCUACAAUGGUACGGACAAACGGACGCGAAACCGCGAGGUGGAGCAAAUCCCAUAAACCGUGGCUCAGUUCAGAUCGUAGGCUGCAACUCGCCUACGUGAAGGCGGAAUCGCUAGUAAUCGCAGGUC
rnacentral:rRNA from 1 species